AGCUCGAACCCGCGCGGUGUGGGAGUACAAAUCGCAUUAGAAUCAAACCCUCGGAUCACAGCCUCGCAGCCAAUCUCCGGUUGGCGGUUAUUCCAGUUGACACAGUUCUCGUGCAGCCGACAGCCGCGCGUAUUUUUCCUCGUUUUUGUUCAAGAAGUGCAACAUGCAAAAGUUAUCGAGUGCCCAGAAAAUCCAGCAGACCCUCAAAAUAAGACCAAAAGCGACCGAAAAGCGCGCAUAAUUCAGGGUUGAUUUGUGCGACCGGCUGACAACAACUUGUCCACUCUAGCAAGCGCAAAGUGAAUUCGAGAAGAAACCACACACGUACGCCUCCUCCUCCCCCGUUGGAUUCUUUUUUUUUUGCGCUCGGUUUCUGUCGGUUGAUCGUGUUUCAAGUUUUGGCCAUACGCGUUGCCCAAAAACGAAAGCUUGUUGUUCAUAUUAUUAAAAACUGAAAAAUAAGAAUCUUGGAACUUUUGGCCGCCGUUGUCAUACACUCUGUUGGACAGUUUUCACUUGACCUCAGGGCGAAUCGCACAAGAACUCGCGCAGUUAAUUUACCAUACACACGUGAUCGAGCUUUGAUGAUUCGAAUUUUAAUAACUAAAGCGCGCACUCCUUUCGAGAUAAUGUAUAAUUUACGAUACCGAAACCGCCAUAAACGUCGUGCGUGAAGAGAAGAGUGUGGUUCUUCCUACAACACUGCAUGGUGGUGACAUUUUCAAGUGAGUGUGAUCUGUGUGAUUUUGUGGGCGUUUUUAUCUGUUCAAGGAUUCAGAGUCGCGUAUGAACAUCUCUGACUUCCAGUGCAUGUUACAAGUGCGUAAAUCAACGUGGAGCGGAACGAGUGUAUCUAUACAGAGACUCCGCAUAGACUGGAUCUGGACGGUAGAUGCGCGCGACGACGACGACGACGGUGAUAUCGACGUCUCGGUCGUCAAUGCACGCGUGGGUGUCCCCGGAGACCUUGAUGGUUUCUUUAAUGAACAACAACAGCUACGAUACACAGACGCAAAGUUUACGCGAUCUCUCACCUCCGCCCGCGGGGUCUACCAUAGGGGUUGCUGCUGGAGCGAAUAACGUCUGGAAACGGCAAGCAGCGAUUUGUCGGAGAUCGCCCAGCAAACUAUUACCAAGAACUGUGAAACAGUAGCCGCAGUCGUCGCAUAGCAAAUCCGCGACCGUAGAUCUAGAUCCCGCUGGACACGUGUUCCAUGGUAAUUAUUACCAUCAUCAUCAUCAAAGUCGUUGCAGCCCGCCGGUACCCGCGCGGUCUUUGGCCUGAGAACGUGCGCUGUGUUUGAAGAGGAAGACAAAAGAAAGCCGCAGGUUACCUAAAAAAUAGUGUGUCAGUGACAGCGCGAGGUGGCCGUGGUGCAGAAGAUCUCACACGGUGUGCAGCCGGCUGGAACACAUCCAACGGAAGAUCGUUCCUGCCCCGAGGGGUUAAUGAAACAUUCGAAGACAGCCGGACGGUCGAUCGCGAAUUGUGUGGAUCAAAGUUCGUGGGUUGUAGAUUCUUUUGUCUUGUUUAGGGGGGAACUAAAUACCAGCAUUUCUUGCGGAGCUAAUUUGCAUCGCGCGAACUGACGAGGAAAGAGCACAGCCAUUCGAGAAUUUGCGAAUUAAGCUUUAUUGUGACAGUGAACUUGUGAAGUGUUGAAAAAAAAAAAUCUGAAGAAGAAGGUGUGCGGAUUUUUUUCCUGCUCUCGGGAGAUUAUUGCCCCCUCGAGCGGUGAAGUGUGACGAAUUCGAUUUACCCGUUUGUGAAGAUCGACGUGUGCGCAAGAGAGGAUUGCGAGCUCUGACGAAACGACGAAAGCUGACCGUAUCCCGUGUCGUAUAAGGUACUUCACCCAACUGAAGAAACCACAGCAAAAUCUGUAAUAUAUCUAGGUAUGCAUGGAACUUCGAUGAACACUGUUUUCUAUUAAGGUCCUGGAAUAAAACUCCACUUCCAGCAAGCUCAGCAAAUACUUGUCAAGAUUUCAAUCAUCACGUCCUCAGAAUAACGGACCCGCGACUGAUUCUGCGAAGAACCUAUCGAGAGCAGUUCACCCACUUCAGAAAUAAAAAGAGCAGAGAACCCGUUUCCUAUACCAAUCUAGCCAAGGAAAAUUUCGGUGAACGCACGCAGCACACCCGUCACUGCCAUCCGUCCAAUCUCGUCCCAGACCAAAAGUGGAAAAAAUAGAUCAUCACGAACAACCAAGAUGGAAGUGGCUGCAGCAGCAUCUUCGGCAUCGGCAGCAGCGUCGUCACGAGGUGGCGGCGGUCCCUUUCAGAGGGAGGUACGCGAGUGGCAACAUGUCGAUCCAAAUACGGGAGCCCUGCUGACUGGCCGGCUCGAGGCGGACCGCUGGGUCAACGGACCCUUGAACAGCUAUGGCAAGAUGGUUUCACACAACCUGUCCACGCCGGACGGUAGCACCCAGCACACGCAGAAGAAGCAGAUGGAAAUCCUUCAAGCCCGGACAGCGUCCGGUUCGCUUCAGGUGGUCCGCGCCCAAACCGUACAGACAACCUCGUCACGCUGGUCCUCCUCCACACUGCAUUCCGAGAUCUGCAGCAGCAGUAGCAAUGGUGUCAGCAGCACUAGCACCAGCACCAGCAGUACCAGUUAUAACCAUAGCAAUGGUCACUCUAUUCCAGCUAUCACCGCCAAUGGCAGCAGCAGUAGUAGCAGUAGUCACAGAACAAGUGCACUAACGACCAAUGGAUUCUCGAGUCAUCACCUCCAGCAACAGUUCCACCACCAUCGACCGACAGCAGCGGUCAUAAAUUCUAGUAGAUUAUUGAGCUCAACAUCGUCCGCCAUCUCCACCACAAACGGCAGCAUCCUACACAGCAAUUCUCUACACCAGCAGAGCCCUCAACCGGUUGCACCAUCAUCAACUGCUGCGACAAAAAUGUCAUCUUCGCUUGCAUCCACCCUACUGCUGCAGUCGAAUGGUGGCCCACCGUCAACCAGCAGUAUUCGUAGCAAACCAGCGCUUCUCGGUGAACAACCGGACGUGGGCGACAGCUACAGCCACACUACUCGCCAACGGCCACUGGAUUGGUUCGAUAAGUUCAAAGAUAUCAGCGUGAAGGACAAACCGGCCGAUGCCGACAGCUUCCUUACCCGAGGCAAAAGCGUUUCGAUCGAGGAUCUCUCCACAGAACGUGACGAAACCAACUUCGAUGACGACGUCGAACCCACGCAGUGGAAGCGAGUCAGCAAAAUCCGGCGUUCACUGCAGUUUCCAAGGAAAACCGCACCAAAAGUCAGCACCCGUCCGGCAGAUCUUCCGGAGAACUCCGUUAGCGUUUGGAAAAUUCGACAAGAGUUGGAAAACGGUCGACGCCUCAACACAGCCAUGAGGAACAAUCACAUAGACUUCGUAGCACUGGACAACAUCCUGAACAGCGUAGCGGAGUCAUCACCUUCGAAAACAGAGGCACCUCGAACGCCCACAACCCCAAAAGCGAACACCACGUCAUUCCUGACGGCUGAAUCGCUGAAGGAGAUUCGCGGUAAGCUGCGGAGGUUGAGUAACGAGUGUCUUUACCGGGAUGAUAUGAGUCCCGGGGAGGAACGAAAGGAAGACGAUGACUCCGUUACGAUAACUGAGGUUGAGACGAGGAUGGGUCAUCUGCAGACCAGUAGUUCAUCGGAUUCGUACAAAAGUAACAGCUUGGAGUCUACGAGGAAAGGGUCAACCGAUAGCAAUUCGGAAGAUUGGCACUCGAGGCGGAAGUCCUACGGGUUCGAACGGAUGAGUCAUUCGUCCGGUUUUAUGGCUAAGAUGGACUCGUCAACGGACAGUGGCAUCGGAAGGUCGACCGAUCUCAGCUCUAGCUGGUCCAGCGGUGGUACUGAUAACACGUCCGCACCAAGAGGAACCAUUGUUACUUUGGGUGAGCAGAAAGACAAAUCAGCUAACCCAGCGAUGGUGAUCAAGAUCACGAAUGAGAGCCAAGAUAGCGCAAAGCCUAGCUACAAAGAGGAAGAGAUCAAACGUCACUCGAUUGCCGUUGACGAAACCAGCUACGUACGGGACAGCGUCAAAACCUUGUUUGAGAAAAAGACUUCAGUGAGUGUAAACGGAUUCAGCCAGAUCUUCCUCGAUGAUUUGAGUAAAAACAAGAAAAAGGUUGAAUUCUGUAAGACAGAGGUUCAUUUUACCGCUGAUUCCGGUCGGGUGAACAUAGUGGAAACUGAUGAGAAACCACCGCCAACGAACAAUUUCCGACGCAGGCGUAGAUCUUCCGGUGGAUCCAUAGGGUCUUCGUAUUUACAGGCCAUUAGCUCUGGAGUUCCGGUGACGCACUUCGGUGACCUGGAGAAGGGAGUAAACGAAGCUGAUCUAAAGGACAAUCCCGUCUAUACGGCUCCUCCUCCAGUAGUGACUACCACGGUUAACCGUCCUGAACCUAGUCCACGCAAAGUGUUCACCACCUCCGAUGACAGCGAUGGCCAAUCCGCCGAUGACAUCUCGUUACGAGGCAUCCUAAAGAACAAGCCAGUCAAACCAAAGCCAUACGUCCUCGGUGAGAACAUGGACAACAGUGAAAGCUUGUGGGGAGUAAAGCUGCGACCGGUUUCCACGGAGUUAAACUACUGGAACGAAGAGUCCGAAGAAAAACCUCAACCAACGGAAGAGAAAGAAGCGCCAACCGGUGGAAACUUUUCCACUAAAAUCAACCUUUCGCAGACGACACCAAGCUGGAAACCUGAAGAAUCCCUUGAAUCGAUCCCGAAAUCGACGACCAAAAUCCUGAUCGAUAUGACAAAGUCCUCCAACAGCUCUCAGCAAGAGUCCGACCAACUCAAAUCCACGUCACUGAUAAUGCGCACGAUGCGAUCCGCAACUCAGUUUGACGAAGCUAUGCAAAAACUGGAGACUGCACGUCGCGAAUCUCUCGAUAGCAAUAGUGGAGAUCAGCCACGUUCAGCUUUUCAGUUGAUCUCAAGUACAAUCGCCAAGUCAAACUCAGCCAGCAGCAUCUUCAAGGAUACCCCAAAGCUCAGGGUAGCCAAGUACGCUGCCUCCCUAGAUGGAGAUUUAGAUGACGACGAACCUCGGUAUCCGGUACCGACGCCCGCCACCAGACGAAGUUUCACCAACGAAUCUCGCCUGUUAGACUUUGAAGCGUACAUCAGCAAGAAUAGCGUACGACGAUCCAGUACGGACGAAUUUUCGUCGGUCAGUAUGGUCUCGAGUGUCGCCGCUAAACCGGUGGCAGCGCCAAGGAUGAAGAAACUCGGAUCGAACGUACUGAGCCACCAGCUGACGCAGCUGAAGCGGCUGUACGACGCCGCCGAGCAGUACGACAGCGAUGAUAGCGCCAAAGCCGACGAAGAGGUGAAACUCUAUUUGGGCAAUCUUGCCGGUGGCAGUGUCAGCGAAGAAAAAGGAGGCAGCGAACUAUCCGGGAGCUGGAGUCGUAUCAAAGCCAAACGAAACAUUCAAAAGUAUCGCGAUCAGGACGUGAAGAUCACCGUCAACUCGACGUCAGAAUUUGAAAUUGUUAAACCUUCAUCGAAUGGAGUUUCCACAACCACAAUCACCAGCGAAAAACAAGCCAAAACCAGCAAUAUCAUGUCCAUUGCCCUGCAAAGUCCCACGCCAACGAAAAAACAUUCAGCUCCUAGUCCAGUGAAAGCUACCCAACCGCAAACGAUCGAACAGUCGCAACCGCUCUCGCCGCACUUCAAGCGACAUAUUCCGAGCGCAGCUAGCGACACAACGAACGGCACAGCACGAAACGAAGAACGGGCCUCACUGCGGCUGUCGUCCGGUGCACGACAGCUCCGUGAGCAUGAACUAUCGUUCUUCGGUGUCAACAAAAACAGAGACCCGGCGAAGCUGUCGAACGCGACGACCUCGUCGAGUUCGACUAAAUCCGUAACGAAUACCGCGUUUACGCGAUCAACGACCCUCACCUCGUCGUUCAUCAAACGAAACUCGAUCAACAUGAACCCCCUAUCAACGUCCACGUCGGCGGCUUCGACUUCAUCUAACUCAACGACUAACCACGCCACUACUAAAUCCCACACUACAGCCGCCUCGACGGCGUGGCAGUUGACGAACGACAAACCUGACCUGCUGCGGCACAGUCAACGGGUGGACGCCAUAAAGAAAACUACCAGUACCUCUUCGAACGCCACAAGCCUGGGGAACAGCACUUCCACCAUGUCUUCUUUGGAUCACCCGCACUACGAAAACCUAGUCAAACCGGCAACGACGGCUAACUCAAACGGCUCUUCGUACGACCGGAAACAAGACCUGAAGCGGGACGAACAAAUCCUCGAGGAACUAACGCGCGCCGCUGAUGAGAUUCUGAAUGUUGUCAACAACAUGUCGAAUGCUGAAAGCACUGAAAGUAUCCUCAACGAGCAGUACCGCGGAACCGGUUCCGGAGUCACGCUUGGAACCAUACGGGAGUGUUCCACCACGAACAAGAUCAUGCGGUCACGUGGCGUACAGGUGUCGAAGAACUUCGAUGACAGCCUGAAGCGGCAUCAACGAUCCACGAGGGUGUCAUCGGAAUCUUCAAACGAAAGUCUCCAGCGACCUUCGCCCACCCGAACUUCCACUGCCAACACCUCCCUUCGUACCGCUCAACAGCCAGAGUCCCGCAGCAGUACGACCACUGGAAGCGGUCGCCGUAAGCUCACCAGUUCAUCGACCGAAUCGCGUCGACUGAUCCGAAUGUGCAGCAAGGAACGACUGCACCAAUCGAACGCCAGCUCAUCGGAAGAUCUGCCCAAUGCUACAGCCGUGGAACCACCCCGACGACCCCGUCGCACGCGGUAUCACACCAGCCAGUCGGGGGAAAAGUCUGAGAAGGAUAGCCCACGGUUGAGCGCCUCGAAGACAUCCACUGCCGACAGCCGCCGAAGUGACGAACGGCUAUCGAGCCGGUCGCAUCGCAGCGAACGGUCCUCCACGAGAACCAGUAAAGGCCCCACUUCCGCAGCCCUGACGUCCAACGGUGUAAUUCCGACGACGACAGCAACAACUGCAGCAUCCGUCGAACAGCAGCACCGCAUCCGCAGCAAAUCCGGGGCCUCCGUACUGCAGACUACGUACGUAUUGCAAUCGUUUAUCGUUCCACCGCCGCGACGCCGCCGGAACCGGGCGCGCGCCGAUCAUCCCUCGAAAGCUAUCGUGCGGCGGCACUCCUCACGCUUACGAAACAUGCAAUCUGCCAAACGCGCCACCGCAAUCGAUGUAACUAAAAAAUCGCUUUCCAGAGGACGCCAGCUAGAGUUGUGCAUAUGCUCGUAAAUAGCUAGUGUGUGUGUGCGCGCGUGUAUUUCCGGUGAUUGAGAAUUUGGGAGAAUUUCCUUCUAAGGCUCUUGCUAAGUGUGUUUAAUAAUCUAUAUGUGUUGUAAUCAAGCUCAUCCCACAAGCUGAAAGCGGCUUCCAACAAUACGCGGCCCGCCAAAUUGCAAAAUGCCUAGCUUUGCUACCACGUGGCCGGUGGACAUCCCCGAUUGCGCAUUGACCAUUAUUUGUGAUUAGACUCUCUAGAUCAUCCAAGAAGCACCAUCGGUGAGACGGGGGUAGAAACCCCCCAUAAACUCCGCCAGAUAUUGCCCAUUGGAAGUGAAGCUUCCAGCAUGAGUAUACUAUAUUAGAUUCACACACACAUACGCAAAACUAACACAGAUCUCGAAGGGAACCGCAUCUGAAUGAAGUUAAUAUUUAAUCAAACGAAUCAACGAACCGACCGACAUAGUCGAAUAAAAGGUGACUCCCGCAGAACGCUGAAACGCAAGAAUAUCCUGUUCUUAUUUAGUUAUUUCCUUUUAUUAUUUUUGCAAUCUUUAAAACAUUAGAAACUUGUCGCUUGUGUUCCUAUAACGCGGUUUGUUUGUUUUUGAUUUGCGCACUUGCGCGCGCUUGAUGUCGUCGAACGAUAUAAGUCACUUUUGCGUUCGACGCCGGCUU